rnacentral:lncRNA from 1 species
UUGUCUGCCAGGUGAAGAGACAGAGAGAGUGCGGUGGGAAAGUAAAAGCAAAGCAGAAAACGAAAGCAAAAGCAAAACAGAAAAGAAAAGCAAAAGCAAAAGCAACGUACCAACGAUCAGCAACUGUCGAAGCUUUUGUGUCGAAGCUUUGUGUCGAAACCUUUGUUUUGAAUGAUGUAAUUUAUUUUUCUUAUCUUUCGCAGAUAUCCGUAUAACCCCAUCAGAGGGUAAAAAAAAACAUAAAUAAAAAAGAGCCAUAUGCCCAGUAUUCAAAAAAGGGCUGGAAAGUUGUGUGGAGGGCGAAGACCCAUGUUUAUACCAUACUUAGGGCUUCCUUAUUUAGAUCUCGUAUAAAUACUUGAGGGACUCAAAUGUAAUUAUGUAAUAAAGGAAUGAGCAAAUAUGUAAUAAGUAAGGAGCCCUAAUUCUAUAAAAGGGACUCCUCACCCUCACAAUUGGAGAGGCCUUACUCUCACCCUCAGAAGCCAAUUCUUAGGCCAUGGAAGGGCUCUCUCACCCUCAGAAGCUCUCUCAUCUCUCUCCCUCACAAACAGAGAAAUACAAAUAUCAAUGUGGACGUAGCCCAAAUAUUGGGGUGAACCACGAUACAUCUUGUGUUAUUUACAUUUCUUGCAGAUUUACGGUCGGAUUUACGUUUUUCCAAGACCUCUGGUUUUUUGCAUCAACAUUUGGCGCCGUCUGUGGGAAACGACACGAAAAGCUGUGUUGGUUCUCUUUCAUUUUUUACCUCCGCCGUUGAUGUGAAAAUUAAGUUGACAUACAAAUUAAACCCUAUUGAUGACAAUUGUAGUAAUGAUGCAAGUAGGGAUCGUUCUAGACCGGGGAUUAACUAGGGAUGCUAAUCAACACAAAUAAGACUCAAAAACACUAAACUAGACUCUAUAGACUCAAAACUAACUCAAAACACUCAAAACAGCAAGAAACAAUAAAAAAGACUCAAUUCUAGACCUACUAAGUGAUUUGGACGAAAAUAGAACUUAAAAGACUCAAAAGAUCAAAAGAAAACAGGUUUUGACUCUAAAAACAAGACUUAAAAGCAAGGGGUUUGGUUUUGACGAAAUUGAAAGUUAAAACAUAAACUUUGUAAACAAACUUAAAGACUCACGAAAUUGAUGAAAUAGAAUGGUGAAAGGCUAGUUAGAGGGUUCCUUCUCCACACAUGAAACAUAUGCAUACAACUCGAUUUCCAGUUACUCUUUCAACAAACCAUGAAUGACAAUGCCCCAAAUUAACUAGAUUGCACCAAUUAAUUCUCAGAUUUCCCUAGAUUCAUUGAAUUGAAUGGAAUACGCAUUACAACCAAAUUAUUCUUAUCAAGGACCCUAACUAUCGAAUACGCAUGAUAGAGACACAUAUCAAAGAUCAUUAAGUUCAAUGGAAAUCAUAAGCAUUGACGAGGCAUUCAUAACUAUGGAAUACGCAUGUUACUUUUGCCAAGGAUUUACUUAACACAAUCGUGACUAGCGACUUUUACUACUUAUGAAUAUAAGUUAAUAACGAUU